GAUGAACGCUGGCGGCGUGCCUAAUACAUGCAAGUCGAGCGAACGGACGAGAAGCUUGCUUCUCUGAUGUUAGCGGCGGACGGGUGAGUAACACGUGGAUAACCUACCUAUAAGACUGGGAUAACUUCGGGAAACCGGAGCUAAUACCGGAUAAUAUUUUGAACCGCAUGGUUCAAAAGUGAAAGACGGUCUUGCUGUCACUUAUAGAUGGAUCCGCGCUGCAUUAGCUAGUUGGUAAGGUAACGGCUUACCAAGGCAACGAUGCAUAGUCGACCUGAGAGGGUGAUCGGCCACACUGGAACUGAGACACGGUCCAGACUCCUACGGGAGGCAGCAGUAGGGAAUCUUCCGCAAUGGGCGAAAGCCUGACGGAGCAACGCCGCGUGAGUGAUGAAGGUCUUCGGAUCGUAAAACUCUGUUAUUAGGGAAGAACAGAUGUGUAAGUAACUGUGCACAUCUUGACGGUACCUAAUCAGAAAGCCACGGCUAACUACGUG
rnacentral:rRNA from 1 species